GAUGAAGAACGCAGUGAAAUGCGAUAAGUAAUGCGAAUUGCAGAAUUUCCGUGAGUCAUCGAAUCUUUGAACGCACAUUGCGCCCGCCAGUAUUCUGGCGGGCAUGCCUGUUCGAGCGUCAUUACAACCCUCAGGCCCCCGGGCCUGGCGUUGGGGAUCGGCGGAGCCCCCCGUGGGCACACGCCGUCCCCCAAAUACAGUGGCGGUCCCGCCGCAGCUUCCAUCGCGUAGUAGCUAACACCUCGCGACUGGAGAGCGGCGCGGCCACGCCGUAAAACACCCAACUCUUCUGAAGUUGACCUCGAAUCAGGUAGGAAUACCCGCUGAACUUAAGCAUAUCAAUAAGCGGAGGA
rnacentral:misc_RNA from 1 species